CACGAAGCUGGAUUCGCUAGUAAUCGCGCAUCAGCCAUGGCGCGGUGAAUACGUUCCCGGGCCUUGUACACACCGCCCGUCAAGCCAUGGGAGUCGGGAGUGCCUGAAGUUCGUGACCGUCACAGGAGCGACCUAAGGCAAGACCGAUGACUGGGGCUAAGUCGUAACAAGGUAGC
rnacentral:rRNA from 1 species